rnacentral:rRNA from 1 species
UAGAGUUUGAUCCUGGCUCAGGAUGAACGCUAGCUACAGGCUUAACACAUGCAAGUCGCAGGGUAACAUGAGGAAAGCUUGCUUUCCUUGAUGACGACUGGCGCACGGGUGAGUAACGCGUAUCCAACCUUCCCAUAACUACGGGAUAACCCGUUGAAAGACGGCCUAAUACCGUAUGACAUCGUUUGCUGACAUCAAAUAACGAUUAAAGGUUUAGCGGUUAUGGAUGGGGAUGCGUCUGAUUAGCUUGUUGGCGGGGUAACGGCCCACCAAGGCGACGAUCAGUAGGGGUUCUGAGAGGAAGGUCCCCCACAUUGGAACUGAGACACGGUCCAAACUCCUACGGGAGGCAGCAGUGAGGAAUAUUGGUCAAUGGGCGAGAGCCUGAACCAGCCAAGUAGCGUGCAGGAAGACGGCCCUAUGGGUUGUAAACUGCUUUUAUGUGGGGAUAAAGUGCGUGACGUGUCAUGCAUUGCAGGUACCACAUGAAUAAGGACCGGCUAAUUCCGUGCCAGCCGCCGCGGUAAAAGGG